AAAGCCAAGAGGAGCAUUCCAGAGCACUUCUCCCUGAUGGUUUCCUGGAGGACAAUAUCAACUAAGAUUCAGAAACAAUUGAAGAAGAGAAGGAAACUAUCAAAAGAAAUGACAAAGCAAACUUGCUUAGCUUUAAUUGUCAACUUGAUACCAUCUACAGUCACCUGGGGAGAGAGUCUUAAUGACGACUGUCCACUUUUGGUUGGCUUAUGGUGUAACUGGAAUCAUAUGUAUGACCGUGGAAUGGAAGCUAUAUACAGAAGCUUGCUGAAGUAACCAAUGUAUAUCCAAUUGAAGACAUUGACUCCAUCUUCUGCAUCAUCAGGCCUAUGCCUACUCCUUUAUGGAUUAUUGACCAAGCAUUUAAAGAAGCAGACAUGAAUUGACUUCUGUGGAGUAGGCUUUAUAAUCAGAGAGUGGCUGACUAACCCAUAAAAGGAGUCUGCAUAGCACCUUGCCAAAUUAUGAAAACUAGCCAACAGGAAGAAAACUUCCAUCUCAGUUCCAGCUUGAUUUCUCUAAGUCAUUCAACCAAAGUGCCUAGUGCCUUUAACAGUAGGUUUUUACCAUUGGUUUCUGGUGGGAAACCAAAA